GGAAUAUUGCGCAAUGGACGAAAGUCUGACGCAGCGACGCCUCGUGAGGGACGAAGGUCUUCGGAUUGUAAACCUCUUUCAGCAGGGACGAAGCGAAAGUGACGGUACCUGCAGAAGAAGCACCGGCUAACUAUGUGCCAGCAGCCGCGGUAAUACAUAGGGUGCAAGCGUUGUCCGGAUUUAUUGGGCGUAAAGAGUUCGUAGGCGGUUUCUCGCGUCGGAUGUGAAAACUCAGGGCUCAACCCUGAGCCUGCAUUCGAUACGGGGAAACUUGAGGACGGCAGGGGAGACUGGAACUCCUGGUGUAGCGGUGGAAUGCGCAGAUAUCAGGAAGAACACCAAUGGCGAAGGCAGGUCUCUGGGCCGAUUCUGACGCUGAGGAACGAAAGCGUGGGGAGCAAACAGGAUUAGAUACCCUGGUAGUCCACGCCGUAAACGAUGGACGCUAGGUGUGGGGAACAUUCCACGUUCUCUGCGCCGCAGCUAACGCAUUAAGCGUCCCGCCUGGGGAGUACGACCGCAAGGUUAAAACUCAAAGGAAUUGACGGA
rnacentral:rRNA from 1 species